ensembl:lncRNA
GACAACUGGAAUCUGAAAAGGAAUUCUCUGCAGUUACUUCUAAGAGAAAUGGAGUCAACACAUGGAAUUGCUUGGAUGGACUGCACUGGAGACCAGAUUUUCAUCCAUUUCGUAUAAUUGCUCUGUGGUCACUUGAGAAGUUUUGUGCAGAAUCAGAGACAAACUUCUGCUUCCCCACCUGAUAAUUUACUUUUGAAUCUGCUGAAGAAAGUUAUGUAAAAUUCUACCAUAUGCUGGGCAAGUGAAGUAGUUUGAGGACAUCCCAAAAGAGAACACUGAAAAACAGCAGAUAAAAAACAAGGCUCUGAGUUAUACCCUAUGAAUUUAUCCUUGGUGAUUUGGAAAAAGCAUCAAGUAAACCUACCUGGAAGGCGAACAGUUGGCUGACCUAAACCAAACCACGCUCCUGGAAUGGGAAUAUUGCAGCAGUACAGCAGUGUAAAGUUCUCAUAUUUGAAUGCUUAUUAAAUGACAAAAGUCCCAGUUUUCCAGUCUGAAUUGUCUCUCAGCAGAAGUACAAUCUACGACAUCCUAAUUGGUGACACUUCUCUCCAUCAACUGGAGAGUAGAGAACACGACAGUUCUGUUUCAUCAAGUGCAUCACCAUUUUACUUAUCUGAGUAAAAAGUAGAUUGCAAGUAAUCCAAAAGGCACCAGCAGCUAAAGUUUUUUGAAAAGACAGUCCUACAGCUUAUGUGAGUUGUGUGCUAAGUGAAACCUAUGGAUCAAGUGCCUCAGGAGCUUUAGUGGAAACAUUCAUAGGUGUUGGAUGCAGAAAAAGAUGCA